rnacentral:sRNA from 1 species
GAUACCAGGUUGCAAAGCACGUACGUUCAUCUGUGCUUUGCACAGAGAUGGACGUACGUAUUUGGCAACCGCACAAAAAUGAGGAAGAAACGGGGGAGGGGCCCCGUGAAUUCCGAAUUUUUGUAGAAUUGCGAGAGCACGAAGUGCGGAGCAAUUCGCAGGUAUC